rnacentral:RNase_P_RNA from 1 species
GGUAAACCCCACCCGGAGCAAGGCCAAAUAGGGAAGCGCCCGAGGGCUGCUCGUCCGAUGCUUCCGGGUAGGCCGCUCGAGGCCGCGGGCAACCGUGGUCCUAGAUGAAUGGCCGCGGCCCCGCCUUCGGCGGGGUACAGAACCCGGCUUACAGACCCCCUUCGGCU